rnacentral:rRNA from 1 species
GACGAACCGUGCGAACGUUGUUCGGAUUCACUGGGCUUAAAGGGCGCGUAGGCGGUGCGACAAGUCGGGGGUGAAAUCUUUCGGCCCAACCGGAAAAGGGCCCCCGAUACUGGCGCGCUGGAGGGAGGUAGGGGCAUGUGGAACUCCAGGUGGAGCGGUGAAAUGCGUAGAUAUCUGGAGGAACGCCGGUGGCGAAAGCGACGUGCUGGACCUUCUCUGACGCUGAGGCGCGAAAGCCAGGGGAGCAAACGGGAUUAGAUACCCCGGUAGUCCUGGCCCUAAACGAUGGGUACUAGGUAGUGGACUUGACAUGGGUUCACUGCCGAAGCAAAAGUGUUAAGUACCCCGCCUGGGGAGUAUGGUCGCAAGGCUGAA